rnacentral:rRNA from 1 species
UACGGAGGGUGCAAGCGUUGCUCGGAAUUAUUGGGCGUAAAGGGUAGGUAGGUGGUCUCAUUUGUCUGGGGUGAAAGCCUUGAGCUUAACUCAAGAAGUGCCCCAGAAACGGUGAGACUAGAGUCCUGGAGAGGGUCGUGGAAUUCCCGGUGUAGCGGUGAAAUGCGCAGAUAUCGGGAGGAACACCAAUGGCGAAGGCAGCUCGCUGGGACGGUACUGACGCUGAGACGCGAAAGCGUGGGGAGCAAACAGG